GAUGAACGCUGGCGGCGUGCUUAACACAUGCAAGUCGAGCGAGAAGUUUUGAACAGAUUCUUCGGAUGAAAUUUAAAAUGGAAAGCGGCGGACGGGUGAGUAACGCGUAGGCAACCUGCCCCAUACAAAGGGAUAGCAUUUGGAAACGAAUAUUAAUACCUUAUGAAACUUAACUAGUGCAUGCUAGGUAGGUCAAAGAUUUAUCGGUAUGGGAUGGGCCUGCGUCUGAUUAGCUAGUUGGUGAGGUAACGGCUCACCAAGGCGACGAUCGGUAGCCGACCUGAGAGGGUGAACGGCCACAUUGGAACUGAGACACGGUCCAAACUCCUACGGGAGGCAGCAGUGGGGAAUAUUGCACAAUGGGGGAAACCCUGAUGCAGCAACGCCGCGUGAACGAUGAAGGCCUUUGGGUCGUAAAGUUCUGUUCUAGGUGAUGAAAACUGACAGUAACCUAGGAGAAAGCCCCGGCUAACUCCGUG
rnacentral:rRNA from 1 species